rnacentral:rRNA from 1 species
CAGCCGCCACGGGAAUACGAAGGGUGCAAGCGUUACUCGGAAUUACUGGGCGUAAAGCGUGCGUAGGUGGUUCGUUAAGUCUGAUGUGAAAGCCCUGGGCUCAACCUGGGAAUUGCAUUGGAUACUGGCGAGCUAGAGUGCGGUAGAGGGUAGUGGAAUUCCCGGUGUAGCAGUGAAAUGCGUAGAGAUCGGGAGGAACAUCUGUGGCGAAGGCGACUGCCUGGACCAGCACUGACACUGAGGCACGAAGGCGUGGGGAGCAAACAGGAUUAGAUACCCGCGUAGUCCCUGUCUCUUAUAC